AAUGAUCGACUAUUCUGUGUUUAGAAUCUGUUAUCGCAACUGCGAAAUGUUGGUCAAGAUUAUAACAAGUAAUCUUUCCUUUUGACUUACAUUUUUUAUGGUUUUUUUUCACAAUCACUGAUUUCAAUAACUUUCUCCAGAACACUACUUCAGAGAGUUUCCAUGGUAACACUUGAUGAUUUGAAAAGAGUCGGUGAAAAAUAGUUUAGUCGUCUGUUUAGUAUAGAGAGUUCAAACUGUGCCAUUUGUUGUCAUCUGUCAAAAGUUGAAGAAAUCCGGGCUUCAUUUGCACAACAGUUUGGUCGACAAAUGACCGUGAUUACAUCAGUGGAUAACGAAAUAAAUUUUUUCUUCAAUGAAGUAUUUAAUACAAUCUAAUAUUUUAUUAUUUAUUGUUGAAUAAUAAAGCCUCCAUACGGUCAACAUCAAA